CAGAGGCACCAGACCCACCCCACUGGAGACGCACAGAGGACUGUAGAGGCUAUUAGGCAUGAAGUUAGAACAUUGGACGAUGUAGCACGGUCGUUGACAUGGACUAGACAGUCCUUUUAUGAAAAAAGUAACAAAAUGGACACAAUGUUGGCUAGGACUCUAAAGCCCCGACAGAGACGGAUGCACAUUACCUCGAUAAGACAUGCCGACGGUUCCCUGAAAACUACACCCGGGGAGGUGGCAGAGGUUUUUCGGGAUUUUUAUCGGAC